rnacentral:rRNA from 1 species
UACGAAGGGGGCUAGCGUUGCUCGGAAUCACUGGGCGUAAAGGGUGCGUAGGUGGGUUGGUAAGUCAGUGGUGAAAUCCCCGAGCUUAACUUGGGAACUGCCAUUGAUACUAUUAAUCUUGAAUACUGUGGAGGUCAGCAGAAUAUGUCAUGUAGCGGUGAAAUGCUUAGAUAUGACAUAGAAUACCAAUUGCGAAGGCAGCUGGCUACACAAAUAUUGACACUGAGGCACGAAAGCGUGGGGAUCAAACAGG